rnacentral:tRNA from 1 species
GCGCCGUUAGCUCAGUUGGACAGAGCAAUUGCCUUCUAAGCAAUCGGUCACUGGUUCGAUUCCAGCUGGCCGCUCCA